UUGUAAUCCACUCCCACCGCUUAAUUUUGCUCUGGUUUAUCAUAAUACCAUAAUUUUGCUCUACUUCAGCCUCUUGUUUUCUGCAAAAUUCGCCCAUCUUCUCUUCUUACUCGCUUAACCCUUGUGAUUUUUACCGUGCUUUUUGCUUUCAUAAAUUGAAUCCCAAUUUCUGGAAUAUAAACUGAUAUUUUUGACAGUAAAUUGACGUUUUGCUGAGUUUUUUGCAGUUUCACAUUUGCUCACUAAGAUGAAAGAUUUUGUUUUAUCUCAAGUUUAUCGAUUUUGCUGCUACUUUCGACAUCAUUGGUCAAUUGAAGCUCUUUGUGUAAGAAACCUGGGUCACUGACUUGAACGCACGUUCACGAAAGACUUAAAAUUGAUGUUUGAUUCGCUAGCUGCACAAAUUCUCCUUCUAUUUUCAGAACAAGAGUUUCUUUUGGCAACCGAUUUACCCGAAUACUUUCGAUUGGAAUAAAGGAGAGUGGACAUCGACUGGGAUUAAUAAGUUGAAAAGAUUUGGUACAUUAUACCUUUUCUAGAUGCUCUCCAGAUGAGUGCAAAUACGUGUAGUUUUUGAAUUUUCAUGGUUAAAUCUGUUGGCACUCUAAAGUGAAUUACAGAAUGCAAAUGAUGAAUUAAGUAUGUUGGAGUUUUUUUUCUCAA